rnacentral:rRNA from 1 species
UGGGGAAUAUUGGACAAUGGAGGAAACUCUGAUCCAGCAAUUCUGUGUGUGUGAAGAAGGUUUUAGGACUGUAAAACACUUUUAGUAGGGAAGAAAAAAAUGACGGUACCUACAGAAGAAGCAACGUCUAAAUACGUGCCAGCAGCCGCGGUAAUACGUAUGUUGCGAGCGUUAUCCGGAAUUAUUGGGCUUAAAGGGCAUCUAGGCGGUAAGACAAGUUGAAGGUGAAAACCUGUGGCUCAACCAUAGGCUUGCCUACAAAACUGUUGAACUAGAGUACUGGAAAGGUGGGUGGAACUACACGAGUAGAGGUGAAAUUCGUAGAUAUGUGUAGGAAUGCCGAUGAUGAAGAUAACUCACUGGACAGAAACUGACGCUGAAGUGCGAAAGCUAGGGGAGCAAACAGG